AUUGAACGCUGGCGGCAUGCUUUACACAUGCAAGUCGAACGGUAACAGGCCGCAAGGUGCUGACGAGUGGCGAACGGGUGAGUAAUGCAACGGAACGUGCCCAGUCGUUGGGGGUAACUACUCGAAAGAGUAGCCAAUACCGCAUACGAUCUAUGGAUGAAAGCGGGGGACCUUAAGGCUUCGCGCGAUUGGAGCGGCCGAUGACAGAUUAGGUAGUUGGUGGGGUAAAGGCUCACCAAGCCAAGGCUCUGUAAGUGGUCGGUGGGGAGGACCAGCCACACUGGGACUGGGACCAGGCCCAGACUCCCACGGGAGGGAGGAGGGGGGAAAUUUGGACAAUGGGGCGAAGCCUUAUCCAGCAAUGCCGCGGUCAGGAAGAAGGCUUUCGGGUUGUAAAAUGCUUUUGUACGGAAAGAACCGGCUUUGGAGAAACCCCGGGGCUAAUGACGGUACCGAAAGAAAAAGCCCCGGCUAACUACGUG
rnacentral:rRNA from 1 species